ensembl:lncRNA
GGAAUAAAAGCAUGCUGAUCCACACAGGUGUGCACACAGGUGUACACACGGGUGUUCACAGACGCGGACUACAGCUUUCUUGGCUGCUGCCUCAAAGCACAUUGUGCGCUGUCUAUCGUGCGUGCUGCACAAUAUCGUUUAUUAUUUAGUAUCUACUGUUAUCUACUGCUAGCUAGUUUAUUGUGAUGGUGCUGUUUUUUUUAUUAUGUUGCUCUUUGUUGUUUGCUUUCUCUUCUGUUUUUUUUCUCCAUACAGGUGAUCCAGGUGUUUUGUUUGUUUUUCUUUUUUUUCUUUUUUUCUUUCUUCCCCCCCUUCUCACCGUCUCUUCUCCCCUUUGGUUUUCUUUCUCUCCCUCUCUUUCUUUCAUUCUUUCUCCCUGUCCUGUCCUCCAGUCAUGUCUGUCCCGUUUGUAGCAACUGAAAAAAAAAUAAAUUCAUAAUUAUAAUAAAGGUCAAUCAAAUGGACCAAUAUGGCAAGGCCAUGAUGAGCCACUUGGUAAAAUAAAUCCGCUUGGCAUCUUUCUUGGCCUCAAGACAACAAUUCUGACAGCUAAAGAUCCAAACGGGACACAAAAAAGAAAAAAAAGAAAAAAAGAAAAGGAUCCUGGUGUUAUUUGUCUCUCAGAAACAGUUCAUAACUUCCCUUCAACUCAUUCACGUGACCUAAAAGGUAAACCUGUUUCUCCAUCACCUGCUCAGCUCUGAUGAUUCAGUAAGGACAUCUCCUGGUUUCAUCUUCAUGUUUCCCUCUCACCACAUAUCCAAACCGACAUCAUGACCAGCAGCUUUUCCAGCUGUGGCUCCAGCAAACAUCUAGAAAUCAAUAUUAAAUAAAUUCUAACAACAGCUGAUCAAGCUUUUCUGGCACAAAGUGGGCAAUAAACAAACAAGAGAGAAAAGCCGAUCAGCUGAUCAUUGAUCAGUUUCAUGAUUGAAGUAGCAACAGGAGAGAGAGGGGAGAGAAUGAGAUAAGAAGAGGCAGCUGUGCAGCAAAGACGCAGAAUAAGUCCAGCUUUGUCCUUUUUUCUAUUCUAGCUGAAGUCCGGGACAAAUUGCGUUUC